rnacentral:rRNA from 1 species
AUUGAACGCUGGCGGCAGGCCUAACACAUGCAAGUCGAGCGGAUGAAGUGAGCUUGCUCCUUGAUUCAGCGGCGGACGGGUGAGUAAUGCCUAGGAAUCUGCCUGGUGGUGGGGGAUAACGUCCGGAAACGGGCGCUAAUACCGCAUACGUUCUGAGUGAGAAAUUGGGGGAUCUUCGCACCUCACGCUAUCAGAUGAGCCUAGGUCGGAUGAGCUAGUUGGUGGGGUAAAGGCCUACCAGGGCGACGAUCCGUAACUGGUCCGAGAGGAUGAUCAGUCACACUGGCACUGAGACAGGGCCCAGACACCUACGGGAGGACGCAGUGGGGAAUCUUGGAGGAUGGGGGAAAGCGUGAUCCAGCACUGCCGGGUGUAUGAAGAAGGACUUCGGAUUGUAAAGCACAUAAAGUUGGGAGGAAGGGAAGUACGUUCAUCCCUUGCUGUUUUGACGUUACCAACAGAAUAAGCCCCGGCUAACUUCGUG